rnacentral:rRNA from 1 species
CCUACGGGAGGCAGCAGUGAGGAAUAUUGGUCAAUGGGCGAGAGCCUGAACCAGCCAAGUCGCGUGAGGGAGUACUGCCCUAUGGGUUGUAAACCUCUUUUGUCGGGGAGCAAAAGCCGGACGUGUCCGGCUGUGAGAGUACCCGAAGAAAAAGCAUCGGCUAACUCCGUGCCAGCAGCCGCGGUAAUACGGAGGAUGCGAGCGUUAUCCGGAUUUAUUGGGUUUAAAGGGUGCGCAGGCGGAUGUUUAAGUCAGCGGUCAAAUCGUGGGGCUCAACCCCAUCCAGCCGUUGAAACUGGGGGUCUAGAGUGUGCGUGAGGUAUGCGGAAUGCGUGGUGUAGCGGUGAAAUGCAUAGAUAUCACGCAGAACCCCGAUUGCGAAGGCAGCAUACCGGUGCACAACUGACGCUCAGGCACGAAAGCGUGGGUAUCGAACAGGAUUAGAUACCCGAGUAGUC